UGACGGUACCUGACUAAGAAGCACCGGCUAAAUACGUGCCAGCAGCCGCGGUAAUACGUAUGGUGCAAGCGUUAUCCGGAUUUACUGGGUGUAAAGGGAGCGUAGACGGCAUAGCAAGCCAGAUGUGAAAUGCGGGGGCUCAACCCCUGAACUGCAUUUGGAACUGUUAAGCUAGAGUAUCGGAGAGGUAAGUGGAAUUCCUAGUGUAGCGGUGAAAUGCGUAGAUAUUAGGAGGAACACCAGUGGCGAAGGCGGCUUACUGGACGAUAACUGACGUUGAGGCUCGAAAGCGUGGGGAGCAAACAGGAUUAGAUACCCUG
rnacentral:rRNA from 1 species